UACGGAGGGAGCUAGCGUUGUUCGGAACUACUGGGCGUAAAGCGCGCGUAGGCGGCUUUGUAAGUUAGAGGUGAAAGCCCGGGGCUCAACCCCGGAACUGCCUUUAAAACUGCAUCGCUUGAAUCCGGGAGAGGUGAGUGGAAUUCCGAGUGUAGAGGUGAAAUUCGUAGAUAUUCGGAAGAACACCAGUGGCGAAGGCGGCUCACUGGACCGGCAUUGACGCUGAGGUGCGAAAGCGUGGGGAGCAAACAGG
rnacentral:rRNA from 1 species